rnacentral:rRNA from 1 species
CCUACGGGUGGCAGCAGUGAGGAAUAUUGGUCAAUGGGCGCGAGCCUGAACCAGCCAAGUCGCGUGAGGGAAGACGGUCCUAUGGAUUGUAAACUUCUUUUGUCUGGGAGCAAAAGACUCCACGCGUGGGGUUCCGAGAGUACCCGAUGAAAAAGCAUCGGCUAACUCCGUGCCAGCAGCCGCGGUAAUACGGAGGAUGCGAGCGUUAUCCGGUUUUAUUGGGUUUAAAGGGUGCUCAGGCGGAAGAUCAAGUCAGCGGUAAAAUUGGGGGGCUCAACCUCUUAGAGCCGUUGAAACUGGUUGUCUUGAGUGAGUGAGAAGUAUGCGGAAUGCGUGGUGUAGCGGUGAAAUGCAUAGAUAUCACGAAGAACUCCGAUUGCGAAGGCAGCAUACCGGCGCUCAACUGACGCUGAUGCACGAAAGUGUGGGUAUCGAACAGGAUUAGAUACCCGAGUAGUC